AUUGAACGCUGGCGGCAUGCCUUACACAUGCAAGUCGAACGGCAGCACGGGUGCUUGCACCUGGUGGCGAGUGGCGAACGGGUGAAUAAUACAUCGGAACGUACCUUAUCGUGGGGGAUAACGCAGCGAAAGCUGUGCUAAUACCGCAUACGCCCUGAGGGGGAAAGCGGGGGAUCGCAAGACCUCGCGCGAUUAGAGCGGCCGAUGCCUGAUUAGCUUGUUGGUGGGGUAAAAGCCCACCAAGGCGACGAUCAGUAGCUGGUCUGAGAGGACGAUCAGCCCAACUGGGACUGGGACCCGGCCCGGACUCCUACGGGAGGCAGCAGUGGGGAAUUUUGGACAAUGGGUGCAACCCUGAUCCAGCAAUGCCGCGUGAGUGAAGAAGGCCUUCGUGUUGUAAAGCUCUUUUGUCAGGGAAGAAACACCGGCUCUAACACUGUCCGGGAAUGACGGUACCUGAAGAAUAAGCACCGGCUAACUACGUGCCAGCAGCCGCCGUAA
rnacentral:rRNA from 1 species